rnacentral:tRNA from 1 species
GUUUUUAUAGUUUAAACUAAAACAUUGGUCUUGUAAACCAAAAAUAAUAUUUUUUUUUUAAAAACU